rnacentral:rRNA from 1 species
AUACGGAGGAUGCGAGCGUUAUCCGGAUUUAUUGGGUUUAAAGGGUGCGUAGGCGGACGAUUAAGUCAGCUGUGAAAUGCCCGCGCUUAACGCGGGAAGUGCAGUUGAUACUGGUUGUCUGGAGUUCGGAUGCCGUGGGAGGAAUGGGCAGUGUAGCGGUGAAAUGCAUAGAUAUCGCCCAGAACACCGAUUGCGAAGGCAUCUCACGAAUCCGAGACUGACGCUGAGGCACGAAAGCGUGGGGAUCAAACAGGAUUAGAUACCCUGGUAGUCCACGCAGUAAACGAUGAUAACUAACCGUCGGCGAUAGAAUGUCGGUGGCCAAGCGAAAGCGAUAAGUUAUCCACCUGGGGAGUACGUUCGCAAGAAUGAAACUCAAAGGAAUUGACGGGG